AAAUUUAGGUGGUGAAAACAGGCAGAGUAACAAAAUUAGAUAGGGAUCAUGCUUGGGGUGAGCUGCAACGUGCAGCUAGAGAAAAGAAGACACAUCCAUUUUAUCGAGCUGUUGAUAAGAAUGGAUGCAUGUACGCAGGUGGGCUGGAUGAACCUAUAUACAGACCUUACAUCGCAAGAGACUGGCGAUUUGGGCACUACGAAAUGGAUGGAUUGCAGGAUCCAGUAAGCAGAUUGUGGAGGUCAAUCACAGCACCAAUAACAAGAAAGAAGAAGAAAGCAAGCGUACUUGAAGAAGAUGAUUUGGAGUAUCAAGACUGCAAUAAACUAUCAAACUUCAUUACUUGAAUGCUAAUCGCUUGUAUCCCUUCAGCCAUGGAGAGUAUCUUGUAGCACAGUUUAGCGAUCUGGUAGACAAAAAAAUUGUCCUUUUUAAGCUUUUUCCUUUUUUACUGCGGUCUUUAUGGAAUUGGUGAACGUAAUUUUAUGGCUUAGUUUCCAUUAUUUGUUGCAUUGUAUUAUAUGGUACAGUUUCUCUGUUUAGUAGAAACAUUUGGCUUCUGUUAAACUUGGACUGUACAAGACUGGUUGGAUCCCUGGAAAAGUCUUUUGUUUGUUUGUGA